rnacentral:lncRNA from 1 species
AAAAAUGAAUCUCGUCCUCGAGAUUCGGAAGAGCCUCAAAUCCUCUGAGAGAAACAGGAAAAUAUCUUGAUUAUCCUUUCAACUUCACAACUUGCACACCAAACUUACACACUUAUGCCUCAAGGUCACACCUCAUGAACAAAAUUUCCAUUGAAUAACUAUUAUUCGUAAUUGACCGAAGUCCAUCUUGACUACUAGUCCUCUUAGCUUACAACUCCAAGAGACAUAGAAACUUAAUAUGCAUUUGCUUCAUCAGGUAGGAGUGGACCACCGUGAUACUCAAUUCUUUUCCCUGACGGUGCUGUUAAGAGCAUUUUGUACUGGGUACCAUAGAUCUCUCCUUUGUGUGCACACAACCAUCCAUUACCAAGGACCAAGGGAAUACCAAGCGACUCUAGCACAAUGAGGUUUACAGUGAAGUUUUCCUUGUUUA